GCCUGGGUGGCUCAGUCGGUUGAGCGUCCGACUUCAGCUUCAGGUCACGAUCUCACAGUUUGUGGGUUCAAGCCCCGCAUCGGGCU
rnacentral:tRNA from 1 species